UAUUAAUUGAACAAAUUGCAAAAGAUUCAGCAACACAGAUGUCCAGAAUAAUGUGUAAUUGCCCGAUGAAAAGAGACAACUUUUAGCCGCAAAUGGUGCUGCGCUAAUAUGUCCUGACAGUCCGUGACAUCACGCGCACGCGUCAUCAUUCCGCGACGUUUUCAACAAGAAACUCUGCGGCAAAUUUAAAAUUGCAAUUUAGUGAACUAAACCGGCCGUAUUGGCAUGUGUUGCAAUGGUAAUAUUUCAUCAUUGAUAUAUAAACUAUCAGACUGCGUGGUCGGUAGUAGUGGGUUUCAGUAGGCCUUUAAUCUCUCCAAGCCCAUAACAAUAUGCUGCAUUUUGUUCAUGCUAAAUACUGUUGUAACUGAACUGAACAUGUUUGCCCACCAAGGAUACACCGGAAGUGCCAAGAGCACGUGUUUCCAACCCAGCAGACUCUUGGUUAUAUUUGUCACCUGAGUUUAUCCAGCAGGUGGCGCCACACUCCACUCUUUCCUCACUUUUACACCGCAGCUUCAUGCCAACUCACCCAUCUUUGUUUCUACUCCUUCUAGAAUGUCCUACCUUAGGCUCCAAGAAAGUGACUUUUUUUUUUUCAUGUGACAUUUUCACACAUUUCCUGUUUUCAGAGGCGCUUUAAGAGUAGCGCAGUCCGCCUCUUCGUCACCUCGUCUCCUCCUCAUCCUCCUCCGGGCUCUCCGCCGCACCCGAGUGUGGUCCUGACUCCUAAUGAGCAUCUCUUGUAGGAAGAGUUGAUGGUUCAACACCACUGCUGCAUUCAUGCAGCACACAACCCUCCAGCCUGCCUGCGGAAAAGGGAGCGUUGCCAUGGCAACGUGGAGCUGCCAUGGACCAGUGUGUUGCCGCCGUUCGUAGACAAUCUUUGCUGCUGGAGCAACUUGAUGGCCAACGAAUGUUGUCAAUCCCCUGCCUCACCCGUAAUUCUUGUCCCACCAUCAACCUGCCUCUGACCACCAGCGGACCGCCACCCCACAUUUGAUGCUUUAGAUCAGUGGUUCUCAACCUUUUUUCAGUGAUGUACCCCAUGUGAACAUUUUUUUAAUUCUAGUACCCCCUAAUCAGAGCAAAGCCUUUUUGGUUGAAAAAAAGAGAUGAAGAACUAAAAUACAGCACUAUGUCAUCAGUUUCUGAUUUUUGAAAUUAUAUAAAAGUGCAAAAUAUUGCUCAUUUGUAAUGAUCUUUCUUGAGCUAUUUGGAAAAAAGAUAUAAAAAAAACUAAAAACUUGUUGAAAUGUAAACAAGUGAUUCAACUAUAAAUAAAGAUUUCUACACAUAGAAGUAAUCAUCAACUUAAAGUGCCCUCUUUGGGGAUUGUAAUAGAGAUCCAUCUGGAUUCAUCAAUUAAUUCUAAACAUUUCUUCACAAAAAAAAAAAAUCUUUAACAUCAAUAUUUAUGGAACAUGUCCACAAAAAAUCUAGCUGU